AGAUGAUGAUGUAGGCAAUUCCGCUGAAGUUCCUUAAAUCUUUCCCACACUUCAUAUAAAGACUCCCCAUCAUGUUGAAAGAAAUCUCUGAUCUCUUUAGUCAAUCU